UUAAAUUGAAGAGUUUGAUCAUGGCUCAGAUUGAACGCUGGCGGCAGGCCUAACACAUGCAAGUCGAACGGUAACAGGAAGCAGCUUGCUGCUUCGCUGACGAGUGGCGGACGGGUGAGUA
rnacentral:rRNA from 10 species